UACGGAGGGGGCUAGCGUUGUUCGGAAUUACUGGGCGUAAAGCGCACGUAGGCGGCUUUGUAAGUUAGAGAUGAAAGCCCGGGGCUCAACUCCGGAAUUGCCUUUAAGACUGCAUCGCUAGAAUUGUGGAGAGGUAAGUGGAAUUCCGAGUGUAGAGGUGAAAUUCGUAGAUAUUCGGAAGAACACCGGUGGCGAAGGCGGCUAUCUGGACCGACAUUGACGCUGAGGCGGCGAAAAGCGUGGGGAGCAAACAGG
rnacentral:rRNA from 1 species